AUGAGGAAGCAAAAUGGCUGGGAGGCUUCUCUAAAUUUUAGGGCCAGUGAAACGUCUUUAUGGCAGAGCUCUGGAGCUUGUUCGAAAGGCUUAAGCUUAUGUGGUCUCUUGGUUAUCGUAAGCUUCAAGCAAAAUCAAAAUUUAACACGUUCUUCAAUUUUCCCCAAUUUUCAAAAUUCGUUACGCUAUUUUCAAAUUCAAUUACACCAUUGCAAGAUUCGAGGUACACGUCCAAGUGUUCCCUUGUAA